rnacentral:rRNA from 1 species
CCUACGGGAGGCAGCAGUGGGGGAUAUUGCACAAUGGGGGAAACCCUGAUCCAGCGACGCCGCGUGGGCGAAGAAGUACCUCGGUAUGUAAAGCUUUAUCAGUAUGGAAGUGAAUGACGGUACCUGAGUAAGAAGCCCCGUCUAACUACGUGCCAGCAGCCGCGGUAAUACGUAGGGGGCAAGCGUUAUCCGGAUUUACUGGGUGUAAAGGGAGCGUAGGCGGCGGAGAAAGUCUGAAGUGAAAGCCUGCGGCUCAACCGUGGAACUGCUGUGGAAACCUUUUUGCUGGAGUACCGGAGAGGUAAGCGGAAUUCCUAGUGUAGCGGUGAAAUGCGUAGAUAUUAGGAAGAACACCAGUGGCGAAGGCGGCUUACUGGACGGUAACUGACGUUGAGGCUCGAAAGCGUGGGGAGCAAACAGGAUUAGAUACCCGAGUAGUC